ACCUGAGUGCUGGAAUUGGUAGACAGUGAAUACUUAAGACAUUCUGAGUUAAUCUCGUGGACGUUCGACUCGUCUCUCAGGUA